CUUGCUCUUGACCGCUCCUUCUCGGCCUUUGGGUGCGUGGUGGGGUUAGCAGUAACUGGAUUGUUUUCCUACUUGGGAUCAAUCCGGCGCCAUCGUGCGUUUUGUGAUGCCAGUUCUGAGAAUAUGAAGCAGAGAGGAAGGGCAAAAAUUGAGGCGAAUAUGAAGCUUGCGGUUGGGACUUCGGGUGCGAUCUCUGAAACUGGAGGCUCUCUGAUUCGGAGACAAUGUAGGAGAUGUUGUCAUGGUUGGCGUUAAAAAUGUGAUUUCGGAGGAGCUUGAGCGAAGAGCAUGAAGUGAGCAUGCUCCGACUUUUUUAAUUCAAAGAACCCCUUUCAGAAAGCUACUUUGCUACGACGAGGGAGUCAAGGAAAAAAGAUUCCAGCCAAAAAGAUUCGUAUCAAGCUUUCGGCGGACACAACAUCUUUGUUGGUAUGUGGUG